rnacentral:rRNA from 1 species
UACGGAGGAUGCAAGCGUUAUCCGGAAUGAUUGGGCGUAAAGAGUCCGUAGGUUGCCUUUCAAGUUUGCCGUUAAAGAGCGAGGCUCAACCUCGUCAUGGCGGUGAAAACUGAAAAGCUGGAGUAUGGUAGGGGUAAGGGGAAUUCCUAGUGUAGCGGUGAAAUGCGUAGAGAUUAGGAAGAACACCAGUGGCGAAAGCGCCUUGCUGGACCAUAACUGACACUGAGGGACGAAAGCUAGGGGAGCGAAUGG